UACGUAGGGCGCAAGCGUUGUCCGGAAUUAUUGGGCGUAAAGAGCUCGUAGGCGGCUUGUCGCGUCUGUUGUGAAAGCCCGGGACUAACCCCGGGUCUGCAGUGGAUACGGGCAGGCUAGAGGCAGGUAGGGGAGAACGGAAUUCCCGGUGUAGCGGUGAAAUGCGCAGAUAUCGGGAAGGAACACCAAUGGCGAAGGCAGCUCGCUGGGACGUUACUGACGCUGAGACGCGAAAAGCGUGGGGGAGCAAACAGG
rnacentral:rRNA from 1 species